GGGUGCAUGGUGGCUUAGUGGUUAGCAUGUUCACCUCACACCUCCAGGGUCCAGGGUUCGAGUCCCAUUGGGGCCG